UACGGAGGGUGCAAGCGUUGUCCGGAUUUAUUGGGUUUAAAGGGUGCGUAGGCGGCCCGUUAAGUCAGCGGUGAAAUCCCGGGGCUCAACCCCGGAACUGCCGUUGAUACUGGCGGGCUUGAGUUCGGUCGAGGCGGGCGGAACUGGUGGUGUAGCGGUGAAAUGCUUAGAUACCGCCAAGAACCCCGAUUGCGUAGGCAGCUCGCUUGGCCGAAACUGACGCUGAGGCACGAAAGCGUGGGGAGCGAACAGG
rnacentral:rRNA from 1 species